GUGCUUGGCUUUGGCAGCUCAUGUAUUAAAAUGAGACUGAUAGAAAAUUAACAUGUCCUUUGUGUAAGGAUGACAUGCAAAUUCAUGAAUCAUUCCAUAUUUUA